AGACUUAAUAUAAGCAUACAAUACAAUGUUGAUAGAUAGGCCAACAUGGCAACAUUAUACAUAUUAUUGGGUGGGUCUUAAAUACAUAAAACUUCAGAUAAGCAUAAAACACAAUUCAUGUUCUCAACACCAAGAUUACUAGAGACCAACAGAUGACCUUAUAGAGGAUGGAUGAGCAAUGUGAGGUUCACCAGUCAUCAUCAUAACCAUCAUCCUCCCUUAUUUCGCUUUCAUCAUCAUCAUCAUCGAAGAUUGUACGAAUGUAAGGGAAACCAAUCAUCAUAAUCAUAAUAAUCAUAAUCAUCAUCCGAACCUUUAAUAAGAUAUGGAUCCUCAAAUAUUCUUUUCCGAAACAUGAUGAGAGCUUGCCUACUUAAACGAUCUGUUUGCAGAGAAACAAAUCCAACAAAUUCAAGACCAAGAAGCAUAAACAGAGAAUUAAGGACACAAUCCGCACAAAGAUUAUAUAUUUUACCGAAUUCAGCUAUUUUCAUACCUUCCCCAUAUCUAAGGUAACCGCUAGCAAAUAGUUUAGACUUCAAAUACCGGGUUAACCGAGUCCGGAUACCGACUGGACGUAAAGGCCCUAUUUGCAGAGAAACAAAUCCAACAAUUUCAAAACCUGGAAGCAUAAACAGAGAAUUAAGAACCAAAACAAUACUCAAAUUCAAUAUUAAUUUACCGGAUUCAGCUUUUUUCAAAGCUUCCCCACAUCCACUCUGAUCGCUGGCAUAUGGUAUAAAAUUCCAGUUAGUUAAAAGAGCCUCCUUUUCCUCAAUAGUAUAUGUACGUGAAGACGAAGGGGCUCUGAAACCAGGACCUGAGCUUUUUAAAAAUUCAACCAACUGUUGAACAGAAACAAAUCAACAAUCUGUUACGUACUUACAACAUAAAUAUAGUGCAGAAAGCAAGUAUACAAUCUCCAAAAUGAUUCUUACCUCGGCACUGAGUUUCUGGGGGCUAUUAAGAUCUGUUGCACGGAAACAAAUCAACAAAUUAAGGUCAGCUGCUGCUGCUGUCACAAGAAGCAUAAACAGAGACAAGGACAACACAAAAAUCCUCAAAAUGAUUUACCACUUACUGAAACCUACCGUGACUGCCGGCAGAUGGUAUAGGCUUGGAAGACUCAGUUAACCGAUCCUCCUUUUUCUCUUUAUCAACGAGAGCCUGUGCUCUUUUCUUUGCUUUUCUCUGUUGUUUCCUCUUUUGAUUUUUGAUUCUUUUCCUGAGAGAAGAACAACUCGAACUUGGCCUUUCUUCCUCCGGCUGCUGCUGCUGCUUCAAUAAGGCAAGCUUCUUCCUCGCCUUGCUUGCCCUCUUCUUUUCUCUUUUCAUUUGACUUUUUGUUUUUUCAAUCAUCAUCGACCUUUCUCCAACCACAAUCUUCUCAGACACCAACUUGUCCAAAUUCAACUUUUUGUCAGAAAUAUGAUUCUCGUUAUGAUGAUUAUCUAUCAAAACACCCAGCAGUUUCCUUCUACCUAACCCUCCUCCCUCCUUCUUGGAUAAUUUGGAGGCAUCAUCAGUCGAACAACGCACAUCUAUCCUUGACGCCAUUGUUGAUUCAACUUUUAUACUGCCAGAAAUCGGAAACAGGAGCGACCCAAUCUAAUCUAGGGUUUUAAUAUUUCCUUCUACGCCCCGAUCGAAAAAAUCUUCUUUGAUACUGUACGAAAUCAGAAACAGGAGCAACCCAAAUUAAACUUGGAUCUAAUCUAAUGCAAUCUAGGGUAUUAACAGGCCUAGACAUCCAAUCGAUAGAGGAGGACUUACUGCUGUGCUGCAGAUAUCCCGUAGUUCUUGAUCUUCGUCGAAUCGCAGUUUCCAGAAUUGCAGAGCGAUUAUUGGAAGGAAUAUAUGAUGGGAAUGGAUAGCCAAGAGCUUCAAUUGUUUAGGGUUCCUACCGACUUCACGUCUAGACUUUUGCUUUGUCGCCUCAUCUCUCUCGCAGCACAGCACUCAUUUUCUGAGGCCCAAAUAAAAUAGAAUCAGACCCAUAACUUAUAACAGGCCUAACACAUAAUACAAUUUUUUGGAGUUGAUAAACUCUGAUCCGUAAUUGUCGACCCAGCGGUUAAUCGGCUCAAGUUUCAGAGACGAACCAGCAUACGCAGUCUUUAAUCGGCUCAAGUUUCCGAGACAAACCAGCAUACAUUGUCUUGGGAUUUGGUCCAAGAAGUAGUAAUAUUGGUUCAAUUGGAUUUCCUUUGCCAUCGAUCAUUGAUUGGAUUAGGCAGUGGUACGUACUAUAAGCAUAUGAUUAUGUAAUAGACAUAGUUCGUGUUGCAAAUUUUUUCAAGAAUUUAUCAGUAAAGGUCGACCAACCCACCAGUUAAUCGACUCAAGAUACGGAGGAGACGAACCAGCACACGCAGUGGCUAAUCGACAUAAGUUUCGGAGGCAAACCAGUAUACAUAGUAUAGGGAUUUGGUCUAAGAAGUUGCACUACAUUAAAAGCAUUCUGUAUCAACAAACCUGAAACUAAAACCUCUAGACAAAUCCACUCUUAAAUACACUUAAUCGCAGCUUUGAAAUGCCCUUCUGUACAUUACUGUGACUCGACCAGAUUGAUCUGACGGUUCAACAAAGCUCAGUUGACCGGAGGUACAUCCUGCUCGACCGGUUGGUGCGGCGGUACGAAGCCAUCACCGGCAGCAACAACGUUUCUCCGUUGUCGUUCACGGAGAUAGAGAACCGUUAGAAGACAGACGAAGAGGUCUAGAUCGUGGCAUUUCCUUCUUCCAUUAUCACCUUUUCCACCCAUGCCUCGACUCUCGGGAACACUUCUGGCAACGAAUCGAUCAUGCCGACCUACAUUUGGACAACACAAGACACAGAACCAUUCGAAUAAGCAUAUAUAGCAGUAGACGAGAGCAAGAAUGAAAAUUGCUCACUAAACGAAGCAACUAAACUAACCAUGAAACUACCGGUAUGGUUCUUUCGAACCCACAAAUUUGCCAGAGCGAGCCUCACUGGUAAUUUCCCAGCAGGAUCGACUUUAGCGCCUGAUCGUAGUAACACUUAGCAAGAUGUAGGUCAAGCGGAAGACCUUGUCCGUGCUCGUGCACCUAACCUAGGUUGAACAUGGCCUGUGCGUUGGAUUGAGACUUGGCAUGCAUGUAUGCUUCGGCCGCUCGUUCAUAGUCCCUUUCCGUACCCUAAACAAUGAAAUCAGCAGUCAGGAAUCUUAAACAAUAUUUUUAAAAAAUUAUUAUUUUGUAAAACACAAAAAUCAAAUAUGACCUAACAAUAAAAUUUAUAUCACUAAUAGGAGUUUUGUUGUUUCUUUCACAGAGGGAAUCGAAUGUCCCCACACUCCCCAACCUCAGCACAUUAAUAAUACUGUUUAUAUAGUCCCAUUCAAUCAUUUAAAGUGUCUGUCACUAAUUAAAUAUAAAUUAGUUCCAUAACCCUAAAAUUAAAAUUGGUUUGUGUCUAAAAUUAUUAAUAAAAUCAAUAAAUUAAGGACCAGAAGAAAGCAAUGGGCCUUCUUCUGAGUUGGGUUAGUGCAGUUGGGUAGGUGAGAGUGUGGGCCUCAGGUGGUCAAACAUCAAACAACACCGUUAUUCGAUUGGGCCUCUUCUGGGUCCGAAUAUACAUUGCCGGCCUGGAAUCACGAGCUGGUGGGUAAUUAGCUAAACAGUCUUUUCAGUUGGGCUUUUUGUAUAAAAGUCGUUCCCUUUCGAAAUUAUUUUCCUAAUUAUUCUCCUUUUAGUUAACUAGUUUUAUCACACUGAAUCAACUUUUUUUCCAGAGUGCAGUUGGACGAAGCGGUGUAUUGGUGAUUCGAAAAUAUCAAAUUUGAAUACAACAUAUUUUACGAAUAGACAUUUAAUAUAUGAUAUUUAUUUAUUUUUUAUCUUAUAAUUAUUAAGAGGUCUAGCCCGAUUCCAUCAUUACAUCUCCGAAUUUAAUUGUCUGCACGAAGAUUUUGUUAUUAUUCAGGGCUGCUGCAGCUGCUGAACCUUUCAUUGUCUUCUUCUUCCUCACUUAGGUUUUGAUUCUUUGAACAUGGAUAUUGAUGGAAUCCUAACUCUAAAUUAAAUAUAAAAAUCAAGUACAAUAAAUCUAACACUAAAAUAUUAAAGUGAAGUGGUACUAACUCAACCAAUAGGUAUAGGUAUUAAAGGAACGAAGGGGGACGAAACCUUAACAGGAAAGGUUUGCAUCUGAACCAAGAGUUGAAAUCAAAGAGUAAACUAGAGUCAAAUUUCGUCUUACUCGAUAUGUCACAUUAACUAUUAUGUGCUCGUGAAAAUCUUAACCAUUGAUUCCAUUUAUGUACCGUUUUUAUAUAGGAAUGGGAAGCAACGAAAUUACAAAAAAAUUAAGAAGGAAAAAAAAUUCGACAAAUAAUUCUUCUUCCUUCAAAAAACAAAUUUUGACUAAAUCAAUCCUUAUUUUAAAAAAAUAAAAUUCAAAGUUUUUUAAAAAAAACUUUUUGGGCUAAUCUUUCAUUUUACUUUUUAAAGGGUGGCAUUUUGUGACUCACGUUUUCAAUUUUCAAUAACACAAUCACAAUUAUUAUGUGAUUUACACCCUCUGACACAAAGUAAUAUUCGUUAAGUUGACUCUGAAAUUAUCAAAUAGAGUAUAUCACGCUAUAGCUUGAGUUACAAAAAAGAUGACGGAGUUGCAAACAAACUAUUUUCGAAUCAAGCGCCUCAGCAGCUCGGCUGUCUGCAACUUUACAUGAUGAAGGGCUUGUGGAGCUGUGGGAUUUUUCCAGCAACUUAGAUUUUUCUCAGAGAAAGACGUGGGCAAGAACAGAGCCCUUGCUUCUCUCCACAAGUUGCAAGACCAAAGACUUAAUAUAAGCAUACAAUACAAUGUUGAUAGAUAGACCAACAUGGCAACAUGAUACAUAUUAUUGGGUGGGUCUUAAAUACAUAAAAACUUCAGAUAAGCAUAAAACACAAUUCAUGUUCUCAACACCAAGAUUACUAGAGACCGACAGAUGACCUUAUAGAGGAUGGAUGAGCAAUGUGAGGUUCACCAGUCAUCAUCAUAAUCAUCAUCCUCCCUUAUUUCGCUUUCAUCAUCAUCAUCGUCGAAGAUUGUACGAACUUAAGGGAAACCAGCCAUCAUAAUCAAAAUAAUCAUAAUCAUCAUCCGAACCUUUAAUGAGAUACGGGUCCUCAAAUAUUCUUUUCCGAAACAUGAUGAGAGCUUGCCUACUUAAACAAUCUGUUUGCAGAGAAACAAAUCCAACAAAUUCAAGACCAAGAAGCAUAAACAGAGAAUUAAGGACACAAUCCGCACAAAGAUUAUAUAUUUUACUGAAUUCAGCUAUUUUCAUACCUUCCCCAUAUCUAAGGUAACCGCUAGCAAAUAGUUUAGACUUCAAAUACCGGGUUAUCCGAGUCCGGAUACCGACUGGACGUAAAGGACCUAUUUGC
rnacentral:lncRNA from 1 species